rnacentral:rRNA from 1 species
GACGAACGCUGGCGGCGUGCCUAAUACAUGCAAGUAGAACGCUGAAGGAGGAGCUUGCUCUUCUGGAUGAGUUGCGAACGGGUGAGUAACGCGUAGGUAACCUGCCUGGUAGCGGGGGAUAACUAUUGGAAACGAUAGCUAAUACCGCAUAAGAGUAGAUGUUGCAUGACAUUUGCUUAAAAGGUGCAAUUGCAUCACUACCAGAUGGACCUGCGGUGUAUUAGCUAGUUGGUGGGGUAACGGCUCACCAAGGCGACGAUACAUAGCCGACCUGAGAGGGUGAUCGGCCACACUGGGACUGGGACACGGCCCAGAGUCCUACGGGAGGCAGCAGUAGGGAAUCUUCGGCAAUGGACGGAAGUCUGACCGAGCAACGCCGCGUGAGUGAAGAAGGUUUUCGGAUCGGAAAGCUCUGUUGUAAGAGAAGAACGAGUGUGAGAGUGGAAAGUUCACACUGUGACGGUAUCUUACCAGAAAGGGACGGCUAACUACGUG